CCUACGGGUGGCAGCAGUGAGGAAUAUUGGUCAAUGGCCGGAAGCCUGAACCAGCCAAGUAGCGUGCAGGUUACCGGCCCUACGGGUUGUAAACUGCUUUUUUACGGGAAUAACCCGCCUUACGUGUAGGGCUUUGCAUGUACCGUCUGAAUAGGGACAGGCUAAUUCCGUGCCAGCAGCGGCGGUAAUACGGAGGGUCCGGGCGUUAUCCGGAUUUAUUGGGUUUAAAGGGAGCGUAGGCCGCAUGUCAAGCGUGCUGUGAAAUGUCCGGGCUCAACCCGGGCCUUGCAGCGCGAACGGGCGUGCUUGAGUCCGCGGAAAGCAGGCGGAAUUCGUGGUGUAGCGGUGAAAUGCGUAGAUAUGACGAAGAACCCCGAUUGCGAAGGCAGCUUGCUGCAGCGGAACUGACGCUGAUGCUCGAAAGCGCGGGUAUCGAACAGGAUUAGAUACCCUAGUAGUC
rnacentral:rRNA from 1 species